UCGAGAAUUUUUCACAAUGGGGGCAACCCUGAUGGAGCGACGCCGCGUGGAGGAUGAAGGCCUUCGGGUCGUAAACUCCUGUCACUACAGAACAAGAGUACGAUGAUUAAUACCUGUCGUGCUUGAUAGUAUGUGGAGAGGAAGGGACGGCUAACUCUGUGCCAGCAGCCGCGGUGAUACAGAGGUCCCAAGCGUUGUUCGGAUUUACUGGGCGUAAAGGGUGCGUAGGAGGUUUGGAAAGUCAGAUGUGAAAGCUCACCGCUUAACGGUGAAACUGCAUUUGAAACUCCCAAACUCGAGGAUUAGAGAGGAAAGCGGAAUUCUUGGUGUAGCGGUGAAAUGCGUAGAUAUCAAGAGGAACGCCAAUGGCGAAAGCAGCUUUCUGGAGAAUUCCUGACUCUGAGGCACGAAGGCUAGGGUAGCAAACA
rnacentral:rRNA from 1 species